AACCUUAUGGACCUGCGGGCGUAUACCUGCGGAAGGAUCAUUACACAAUAAACAUAUGAAGGCUGCACCGCCAACAGGCGGCAAGGCUGGAGUAUUUUAUUACCCUUGUCUUUUGCGCACUUGUUGUUUCCUGGGCGGGUUCGCCCGCCUCCAGGACCACAUGAUAAACCUUUUUUAUGCAGUUGCAAUCAGCGUCAGUACAACAAAUGUAAAUCAUUUACAACUUUCAACAAUGGAUCU
rnacentral:misc_RNA from 1 species